CAUAGCAAAGGAGGCUGGCUUUUCACAGACUGCGGUGUCAUACCAAUGGAAACUCUACUGGAAGGAUGAAACUUGGCAGAAGAAGAUGCACAAGCAAAAUAGAUGACGCUGGGUUUCAACGGAUUUUCAAACAGAGAAGAUUCUAGAAUCUAGCAUAGAUCCAGAAAGACUGUGAUGAGGCGGGAGUCACCGCUUAAAAAAACACCACAUUCCGCUGGAUCUGGGAGAUGAGUUACAACUGUCGGGAAUCAAGGUCCACAGGUUUGGAGGAAGAUGCAUGAACAACAGAAGAGAAGCUUCUACAGCACCAGUGUAAAAUAUCCAAAGUCACUGCAAGAGUCUACCAGAAUCUCUUCAUGAGUCCUCCCACUGAAGAUCUGUAUGGAGAUGCAGAUUUCAUCUUCCAGCAGGACUUGGCCCUGCUAAUACCACCAGAAGGACCAAAACCUGGUUGGAUGCCCACCCCAUCACAAUGCUUGACUGGCCAGCCAUGUGGCUGGAUCUAAACCCCAAUGAAAAUCUAUGAGGUAUUAUCAGGAGGAAAAUGAGGGGUACCAGACCCAAAACAAAGAACGGCCAACAAGCAUCACAUAAAAAUGGGCUUUCAUAACUCCCAGGGAACCCCACCAGGUAAUUGCUUCAAUGCCACAGUGCAUCAAUCCAGUGAUACAAGCAAAGCGAUUCCUAACUAGAUCUUACAUGUUAACAUGUUGUUUUGAAAGUACCAUGUUUUCAUCGAAUGAAUGUCACUAUCAUUUUUUUCUACAAAAAAGGAG